GGUUGUGAAACAGACGGCAAUCGAUCGUUCUAGGAAAGCAAAAUGCGAACUUGUUCGGAUACAUUUUUCGCUUUCGUGAAACCAUUUUUGUCGGUAAAACAAAGUGAUGGAAUGCCGUUGAUUAAACCGUAAUAAAUCAGCCUCGCAGAAAAUGAGACAAAUAUUGCGUAGUGAGCUUGUGGCGCCAAAAAUGCAAAAAUUAUUAAACGAAGAUAUCUGGAAUCGAAAAACGAAUAAUCCAAAAUCUUAACUCUCACUGCACGAAGACAGUGCUUACAUGAUGAAAAAAUGAUUAAGAGGAGCUGUAUGUUGUGAGCAUUAAGACAUAUAAAUACUCAAGGAAAAGGAAAAAGAAUGCGUAGUGUGUGUAUUUAAGUGAUAUUUGUGAAGAAACAAAGCUGAAGAGGAUCUAACAAAGUGAGAGUUAAUUUUGGUCUAAGUCUUAUGUUACUAAGUUUUAUUCAUUCAUUGUUUUGUUAGUGAUUAUAGUAGAUACAAGUGACAACUGAUGAUGGGAGUUCUUUCCCAAUCGAUCGUUUCAUGUAUGCAUACCGCAGGUGUCCACCUCCAACCGCCUUUAUUUGUGUUCCAAUCGGAGUGGACGGUUUAAGAAGGGUAAAUCACGUUUUAGGGAGAUCCUGGGCAUUGCUUCCUAAAUAACGCUAGUGUAAUAGGUUGUUAUUCACUAGGAUCGGAGAACUCGGAACACUUCUAUAUUUUCGAACUUUGUAGCUUGUUCCAGCUUCACCGAUAACUUUAUUGCGAAUAAUUUUACAUCACUCGUAACGCGCUUUUAUAUUAAUUUGAACAAAGGCCUGGUAGUACCGCGUAAUUGCGCGCAAGGUGACCGCUUGAUUAUGCUGCGCAAUUUGAUCCUUUCUUUUACCUUUACAUCUUAAUAAUAACCCUAUGCUACCUAAAUCAUAUCUCAAACUAACCUAAUUUAAAUCACCUAUCUGAUAAGAGUGUUGGCUGUUUUAUAAAUGUAAUAUUUAAAUCGAUAUUUAUGGAUAACUAG